rnacentral:misc_RNA from 1 species
GAUGAAGAACGCAGUGAAAUGCGAUAAGUAAUGCGAAUUGCAGAAUUCCAGUGAAUCAUCGAAUCUUUGAACGCACAUUGCGCCCCCUGGUAUUCCGGGGGGCAUGCCUGUCCGAGCGUCAUUACAACCCUCAAGCUCAGCUUGGUGUUGGGCCCCGCCGCCCCGGCGGGCCCUAAAGUCAGUGGCGGUGCCGUCCGGCUCCGAGCGUAGUAAUUCUUCUCGCUCUGGAGGUCCGGUCGUGUGCUCGCCAGCAACCCCCAAUUUUUUUCAGGUUGACCUCGGAUCAGGUAGGGAUACCCGCUGAACUUAAGCAUAUCAAUAAGCGGAGGA